UACGGAGGAUCCAAGCGUUAUCCGGAUUCAUUGGGUUUAAAGGGUGCGAAGGCGGACUUGUAAGUCAGUGGUGAAAUCCUACGGCUCAACUGUAGAACUGCCAUUGAUACUGCAAGCCUUGAGUAUACUUGAAGUGGCUGGAAUGUAUCAUGUAGCGGUGAAAUGCUUAGAUAUGAUACAGAACACCGAUUGCGAAGGCAGGUCACUAAGUUAUAACUGACGCUCAUGCACGAAAGCGUGGGGAUCAAACAGG
rnacentral:rRNA from 1 species